UGUUCAGGAUUGAUGAUUCCAAUCUCCGUCGGCUGGCCCAAUACCUUGAAUUCACUUCACAGAGACGUUUUGCAGUCCCUUCCAGGAAGCCUGCUUUUAGCUUCCCAGCACUGCCGAAACUCUCCCGGCUCCUCAGCAGUGGCUCCUCUGCUUUUCGUGAUGGAGAGUCUCUGGGCAGGAAUGCUGGAAGCCCCACGUGCCCAGGAGCGACACCUGGGCUGAUGAUGAGCAGGCUAUGCAUGGUAUUACAAGCUCCUCGGAAUGGUUCCACUACUGCUCGGACUGGUAACACAUUGAAGCACUUUAUAAACUUUGUAGCUCCUCCACAAUUUUGAAUCACUUUAAAGUGCUCAUGCUCCAAUCCGUGAAGUCUUCCUUAAGGGUCUGUGGCAUUAGGUGUUCAGGUAAAGAUGUAUGAUGCAGUUGUUUCAAGCAUAUUUAUGGCUGAGUCUUCUUAGGUCCAAUAAGGAGACAAUCCAGUGAGAGCAGAAAAAUCCUUCUGUAGAGGGAUAUUUGGUUUUGAGUCUCUGCAGUUAAACAACAUCAGGAGAGGAUACAUGCCAAUCCACGCAGGAUGUGAUAGUUCGUGGCUACUUGGAUGCUGCUUUCUAUGCGGUGGGUCAGUGUUGCCCGUUGCACCUGUGCCGACUGGUCGUGCUGAGGAUCUGGAGUCCAUUGCUGAUCUUCUUCUCCAUUGUGGUACCCGCUCACUGCUCAGUGGAGCAGUGCUCACGCCAGCUCAUCACUUAGGAUGAGUAUAAGGCCAACGUCCAUAAACAAUGCUUAUUAUGUAAAUAUUGCUCAGAGAUAAAACAUUUUAUAAUAUUCUAGCAAUAAAGGUAUCAAAAAUAUUAAUAAUGAGAAAAGAUACUAUAGAGAAAAAUAGGUGUUAAGAAUAACGGUAUGCUGUAAAAGAUUUUUCAAACAUUCCAGCAAUACAGGUAUCAAAAAUAUUAAUAAUGAGAAAAGAUACCAUAUGUAAAAUAGGUGUUAAGAAUAACAUUAUGCUGGACUUUAUAGGUCUCUCCAUCUUCUCCUUAGACACUUCCUCACUUCUCUUUAAAAAAAAAAGGUAAAUCUGAAAAAAAUAGAUAAACCUUAAAAGUAAAUUAAUGCAAAAAUGAAAAUUCCAAGAAGAAAAUAGAAAAUGCAAAAUGGAACACAAGAAAAAUGGAAAUUAAAAGUUUUAAAAAUGUAAACAAAUAAAAUGAUGGAAAUAAAAAAUAAGUGACAAACAGAAUUUCAAAAAUUUUGAGAAGGAAUGAGGAUGUGUCUAAGGAAAAGAAAUACACACUGCGAAAAACAAACUGAAAUUAAGAGGGAAGAACAAAAUUAAUAACAUAGAGAAGAGAACAAACGAACAAAA